AUGGCCUGGAGUUGUCUCUUCAUCGUUCUCACUCUUUUCUCAGGUUCCCUCGCUCAGCCUGUGUUGACUCAGCCACCAUCGGCAUCGUCCUCUCUGGGAAAAUCAGUCCAACUUACCUGCACCCUGAGCAGUGGCUACAGUAAUUAUGCUGUGGGCUGGUACCAGCAGAGCCCUGGGAAAAGCCCCCGGUUUGUGUUCCUAGUAGGCCCUAAUGGCAUUAUAGGAUCCAAGGGAGACUGGAUCCCUGAUCGAUACUCGGGCUCAGGCUCUGGGCUGGAUCGGUACCUGAACAUCCAAAACGUCCAGGAGGAGGAUGAGAACGACUACUACUGUGGGGCAGCCCAUAGCAGUGGCGGCAGCUUCGUGUAA